rnacentral:rRNA from 1 species
AGCGGAGGAAAAGAAACUAACAGGGAUUGCCUUAGUAACGGCGAGUGAAGUGGCAAAAGCUCAAAUUUGAAAUCUGGCGCCUUUGGUGUCCGAGUUGUAAUUUGAAGAAGGUAACUUUGAGAUUGGCCCUUGCAUAAGUUCCUUGGAACAGGACGUCAUAGAGGGUGAGAAUCCCGUUUAUGGUGAGGUGCCCAAUUUCUUGUAAAGUGCUUUCGAAGAGUCGAGUUGUUUGGGAAUGCAGCUCUAAGUGGGUGGUAAAUUCCAUCUAAGGCUAAAUAUUGGCGAGAGACCGAUAGCGAACAAGUACAGUGAUGGAAAGAUGAAAAGAACUUUGAAAAGAGAGUGAAAAAGUACGUGAAAUUGUUGAAAGGGAAGGGCAUAAGAUCAGACUUGGUAUUCAGUGAUCAACUUUCUUUCGGGAUUGUGCACUCGCUGUUUACUGGGCCAAUAUCAGUUUUGGUGGUAGGAUAAUGAUUUAGGAAUGUGGCUCCUCGGAGUGUUAUAGCCUAGGUUGAUACUACCUACCGGGACUGAGGACAGCGCUUUUGCUAGGAUAUUGGCGUAAUGAUCUUAUGCCACCCGUCUUG